CUGCAGCCUGGCUGCGCCUUCGCGAGCCUCCCACACCUGCCCCCAUCACUCCUUGCUUUCCGGCGAUAUCCGGGGGGGCAGCGCUCUCGCAGACGCGCGUCCACCACGCGGCGCCCCCUGCUCCGCGUCCCCCGCUGCGAUGACGACACGCACGGUCGGAAUCUUCUGGUGGUAACGCCCGACGACUGGCGCGUGGCGUGCAGCGUGAGGAGACCCUGCAACAAGCCAUGCUUGCCCGGAUGGGCGGAGAUCGAGCAGGAGUGGAUUCUGUGGUGCACCAGGAUGAGGGUGCCCACGAAUCUUACCUUGUCACGGCCGGCUCUCCUCUCUCCCUCCGCGUUAUGCAUUGGUAGCUUUGUUGGAUUGGCAACGCCGGUGAAGUUCGAUAUUGGAGGUAAGCAAAAAUCUCGAGGGAGUAUAUACAAGGCUAGCUAGAUGAGUAGUAUCGAUAUACGGUUAGGAUUAGGGGUUGUUUGGAUUGGGUACGGAGUUUUUGCCAAUUCUGUUUCCCGUAAACUCAUUUGAAGGGCUAAUCACCUGAAAUUUGCGGAAUUGAUAACUUCCGAACGCACUGCGCUUUGUGUUUCGAUCCGAACGUGUUCUGUACCGUUAGAUCAAUUGGCGUGGAUCUUGAAGCAUGUGCUUGACACGUCAUGUUUCUCGUUCGUUCGUUCCAGGAACUCCUCGGCCCGAACGAACGCCUUAUCCUCUCCACCGUCACUUUUUCCUUCUGGGCUUCUUUUCCCCAUCCCCAUCGUCUUCACUGAGAGAGAGAGAGAGAGAGUCGAGCUGGAGCAGCCGCGCCUUGCCGCCGCUCACCGGUGAGGCCUCGCGGCGCCCCAUCGGUGGCUUAGAUUUCGGGGAGGCGCUCGAGGGGAGCGACGGCGGCGGAGACCUGGGAGGCGGCGGAGGUGCUGCUCGCAGGAAGUGGCGGUGGCGGCGGCUGCCACACCAGCGGAGCUGUCCAAUGCCGCAGCAGGGCCUACCACGGCACCGGCAAGCUGCCUGCACUGCAAGCGGGGAGCGACGCCGGCGGCGACUUGGGAGGCAGCAGAGGUGCUGCUAGCAGGGAGCGGCGGCGGCGGCGACCGACCCUCCAGUGGAGCUAUUCAACGCCGCAGCGGGGCCCUACAACGGCUUCGGCACGUUGCCUGCGCAGGGGCCUACCACAGCGCCGCGAUUUCCUCUGGCUUGUCGACAAGGUGCGGCUCUUCUUGGCGCGGCCGAGGACGAUGGUCAUGGGCAACGUGCCAGAGACGCCCAUCUACCGGUGGAUGGACCAGUACACGACGUGCUCGACGGCACCCUUCGCGAGAAGAUCACCCGGUGGAUUGACGACGACGACGAACGAACCUCGUCCUCAACAUGUGUGAGCGAUUGGCAGCAUCGACACCAGUGGUACGAGUAUGCAUUUCGACAUGGCAAAUUUUGUGUGGAAGAUGCUUAAACAGGUGCAUCUUUGACCAAGUAUAGGACGGGCAGAUGUCGCGAAAGGAAUACUCAUGGUUUCUGAAGACUGACUAUGCUCCCUCGAGUACUACGCAGCAACAAACUCAGGAUAACUCAGUCGAGAACUUUAAAAGAGCAAACAAGAUUCUGGCUUUGGAGUCUGAGCCGGUUCAAAUAUGGGAUUUCUCUGCGCGAACAACCUUCAUAUGGAUGAAUGAAUGGAACCGUAUGCCCCAAGAUCCUCGGUCUAAGAUCCUCGGCCUUCUGACCAGGAGGUGAGGAUGGUGGCAGGAGGAUGUACCUGCGGCGUGAGGAGAUGGGUGCAGGAACAGCCGGCGCACGGAGGUGGCUGGUUCCGACGGCCUCAGGUGAGGAUGGUGGCAGGAGGAUGUACCUGCGGCGUGACGAGAUGGGUGCAGGAACAGACGGCCUUGGUGAGCAACACCAUGAGAGGAGAUGGGUGCAGGAACAGACGGCCUUGGUGAGCAACACCAUGAGACGGGAGCAGAGGUUGCUGGUUCCGGCGUGGCCGGACUGGUUCCGUUCCGGCGGAUGUGGCCGGAGGGCGAGUAUGGGUCCAGCGAGAGGAAAAACUGGCGUUCCUGGUGACGUGCGAUGACGGCUCGAUGGAGCUUCCGCACUUGUUUCUUUGUUUGGUUUGGCUGGGAUGUGUCUUUUUUUUGGUUUGUUUUUUUGGUCAAUGCAUGGAGUACUGUUGUUUUUCUUUGGCCGGUGAGUGAUCGUGGUACUGUUGUUUUUCUUUGGCCGGUGCGUGAUCGUGGAUUGAGUCGUAACUGUUGUUUUUCUUUGGCCGGUGCGUGAUCGUGGGCUGAGUUGGUGGAGAUGUAUCUGAUCGUGGGCUGAGUUGGUGGCGA